GUUAUAUUACAACCACGUCCUAAUCCUUGUUUAACGGUCUCAAUAUGCAGCUAGACUCAAGGGGGCUAAAUAAACCCCAAUAGUGGCUGUAAGGUCCAGAUGAACAGUAUUGGUAAAGGGAAAGUUCACUUAGUGAUCUAAGUAAUUGUCAUAAAGAGUGCAAGAGACAAUAGGGCAAAUAGGCUAUAGCCUGAAUAAAGGCAUUAUGAUAAAAAAAAUUACCGUAUGUAGUAAAUGAGCUUCAAAAUAAAGGAGUUUAAAAAGUCACUUAUAUCUAAUAAAGCAGUGUUAAUGCUGAAAGUAUUAUUUUCCCCUUUAGAACAGCAGAUAGCAAAAGCCUCAGAUAUCAGAGGUACAAGGGAGGUGGAGGGACAAAUAUCUAUGCAGAACAGCCAAUUGUCAGCAAGUGUUGGAAUGCCUUAACUGCUAGUCCCCAAGUCUCCUUAAAUAAAUAAAUAAAACCCCUUCGUGGUGGAAAAUACUUUCAGCAUUAACGCUGCUUUAUUAGACAGGAGUGAUUUUUGAAC